rnacentral:rRNA from 1 species
UGGGGAAUAUUGCACAAUGGAGGGAACUCUGAUGCAGCGACGCCGCGUGAACGAAGAAGGCUUUCGAGUCGUAAAGUUCUUUUAUAUGGGAAGAUAAUGACGGUACCAUAAGAAAAAGCCCCGGCUAACUACGUGCCAGCAGCCGCGGUAAUACGUAGGGGGCUAGCGUUGUCCGGAAUCACUGGGCGUAAAGGGUUCGCAGGCGGAAAUGCAAGUCAGGUGUAAAAGGCAGUAGCUUAACUACUGUAAGCAUUUGAAACUGCAUAUCUUGAGAAGAGUAGAGGUAAGUGGAAUUUUUAGUGUAGCGGUGAAAUGCGUAGAUAUUAAAAAGAAUAAAGGUGGCGAAGGCGACUUACUGGGCUCAUUCUGACGCUGAGGAACGAAAGCGUGGGUAGCAAACAGG